rnacentral:misc_RNA from 1 species
GGGAAACCCCGUAGAUUAUACAAUCUGUCACUCCAGCGCUUGAGAGCAUCGCCAUUUUUGUUGUGUUCUCGUUGGGCUUCACGUCUUUAUUUUCUUAUUUUUAGCUAAAGCCGUGAAAUAGCUACUCUGAUGGCAGAAACAGAACAACAAAUGGGUGAGGAGACAAACUCAGAACAGGUCCAGCCUGUUGCUGGAGAGGAAGAGCCAAUGGAGUCAGCAGAGACUGUUGUUCAUAGUGAGGACUAUGACAAGCUGACAGAAGCAGGACUUGCAGAAGUUGUUGCAGAGAAUUUGGACAAGAUUUACCAAUCGGGUACUCUUACUCAUGGAGAAUUAGAUGAGAGAGCACUGGAUGCACUGAAAGAAUUCAACGAAGAAGGGGCAUUAGCCGUCUUGAAACAAUUUUCUGAAAGUGACUUGUCACAUGUGAACAACAAGAGUGCCUUCCUUUGUGGUGUAAUGAAGACAUAUAGACAGAGGGCAAAACUCAAACAAUCUACAGCUGCAGAUGCAAGACCAGGACCAGAUGAAGCAAAGUUGAAAGAAAUUCUAGACAGGACAGGAUAUUCACUGGAUGUUACAACUGGACAAAGAAAAUAUGGAGGACCUCCACCUGACUGGGAUGGCCCAGCACCAUCUGGAGAUGCAGAGGGCCAGCACUCCAGUGGUUCUCCUUUGUUCCGACAGCAAGUUUUUGUUGGCAAGAUUCCAAGAGAUAUGUUCGAAGAUGAGAUAAUUCCAUUAUUUGAGAAAUGUGGAAAAAUCUGGGAUCUUAGACUUAUGAUGGAUCCUCUAUCUGGUUUGAAUCGUGGCUAUGCCUUUGUGACUUUCUGCGAUAGAGAAGGCGCACAAGAAGCUGUGAAACAGCUUGACAAUCAUGAAAUUAGAAAAGGAAAACACUUGGGUGUGUGCAUAUCUGUUGCCAAUCACAGACUAUUUGUUGGUUCCAUUCCAAAAACAAAGUCAAAAGAUGAAAUAUUAGAGGAAUUCAAUAAACAUGUUGGUGGUCUGACAGACGUUAUCAUCUACCACAUGCCAGAAGACAGAAAAAAGAACAGAGGUUUUGCAUUCUUACAUUUUGAGUCUCACAAAGCAGCUUCUCUAGCCAGGAGAAGGUUGAUGAGUGGGCGUAUCAAGGUUUGGGGUAACUCAAAUGUUACUGUAGAUUGGGCAGAUCCACAAGAAGAACCAGAUGAAGAAACAAUGGCAAAGGUAAAAGUUCUGUAUGUAAGAAACUUGACUCCAGAUGCCGAGGAAGAGAAAUUAAAGGAGGCUUUUCAAGCCUUCGGUACUGUAGAAAGGGUAAAGAAAUUGAAAGAUUACUGCUUUGUCCACUUCGAAGAGAGAGAUGCUGCAGUAAAGGCCAUGGAAGAACUGAACGGUAAAGAAGUUGAAGGUUCAGUUGUUGAUAUUUCUCUGGCAAAACCACCAUCUGAAAACAAAAAGAAAAAAGAAAGACAACAGACCAGAGGAGGCAGAUCAUCAAACAGGUGGGAUGAUGAUUAUUAUGGAGGUGGAAGAGGCCGUGGUGGUAUGAGAGGUCGAGGUGGUUAUGACCGUGGUGGCUAUGAUCGCGAUUAUGGAUAUGGUGGAUACGACGACUACUACGGUGGUUACGAUGAUUACCGUGGUGGUAGUUAUGAUGAUUCCUACUAUGAUGGAUAUUAUGGCGGUGGAUAUGGAGAUAGAGGAGAAUAUGGCGGAUAUGGUGGUGGUUAUGGCAGAGAAUUGAGAGGGGGACGUGGUGGUGCUAUGCGUGCACGUGGUGGAUCGUCUCGAGGACGUAGUGGGUAUCCAAUGCGUGGUGGUCCGAUGGGUGGAAGAGGCACUUAUGGCAAUAGGGGAGGCCAAGGAUUGCGUUCACGUGGUCGUGGUUUAGGAAUUCAGUCUGGUGGCAGAGGACGUGGUGGGUUCAUGGGAAAACGCAAGGCGGAUACACAAAAUACAGAACAUGAAACAGAUGAUUAAAAAAAGUAAUAAAAUAAGAACAAAAUCCCAACAUAAAACAUACCAGUUCAAGAUUUGCAAAUUAUUUGCAGUCCAAAUUUACCAUUUUGCCACGAGGCAUUAAAUGCUCAUUUACCCAUUGAUAUUGCAGGUUACCAGUUUCAUUUUAAGUUCUAGGCACCUUUAUUUACAUCUUUCUGCAAUUGACUGCUUGAAAAUUGGGGAUUGGAAUUAAGGUUUUGUAGAACCAAGGCAACCAUGGCCUUGUACACAAUUAUGGACUUGUAGUAGUUCUUUAUUGCAGUUUGGAACACCUGAUUAGGCCAUGAACUGUAUCCUGUGUUUGAACAAGCACAUUUGGUUUGGCCAAGAAUACUGUCUUGUGUUUUGAAGGUUUUGUAAGAUUGCAAAAAUAAUGUAGCCUGUUGGGCCACAUUUCUUUUCUGUUUGGCACUCGUGUAGAGAGCGUCUCACCUAUACAGGUGCCACCCCUACCUCGGCAAGGAGGCUGAGGCCACCUGGAGUCUGUUACCCUGGGUCUGGCCAGUACCUGCUGUAAUACUUGGAUUGAGAAGAGGAGUUUGUUCCAGAAAAAGAAAUUGAGCUGAACAGUCGACAGUGAUGCGAGUGGUUAGACGAGAUCUGCAACAACUCGCUCGACAAGCAAAGUGCAAAUAAAACCUUUCCAUGUUACAGCACUGCAAUACCAGUGUAGUAUUCUGCAUAUUGCAGCAAAUCUGGUAGUCUGUCAUUUGAAGACAUUCCUUUAAAAACCUACUUUCUGUGGAGUUUUGUAGACCAACUGGUAUUGUAAAAAUUAAGGCAACUCACUGCCAACUUAGAACCUUUCAACAGGGUAAUGCGAUGUCAUCCUCGUAGGAUUACGUUCGUUUUACAACAUAGAUUACUGCCAAAGAAUAUAGUUUUGUAAUUUAUUAUAUUGAAUAAAUUUUAUUUUUCUACAUUAAAUCUUUGUUUCUUUCAACCAUAUAAAAAAAAA